ACGGUAAAAAUUGUUAAUAUUAUUAUAUUGUUAAUAUUAUUAUUAUUGUUAUUAUUAUAAGUUUUCUCUUUUAUCUAGCUUUUUUCCAGUGCAGCAUCACUAGAGAGCCGGUGUGCUUGAAGGAAAGUGCCAGAAAUUCAGCCCUGAUACAUCAGCCAGCAGAUGCCUGUGUCAGCCAGCAUCACAGUUCUUCUUGUGUAUGGUUGACCUAAGAUGCAGAGAUGGAAUAUGCAACUCAGGCGCACCCCAGUACCAGACACAAGACUCAUGCAGAAAAACAGCCAGCUGCUUCAGAUGGCACAGAAGUUGAGCACAUGGUGCCGACUUUACAAGGCUCUUGCUGUUAAGUUCUGGUGGCCACAGCAGAGGAGAAUGUGUGCUGUGAAGAAUUAUGCACCCAUAUUUUUUGCUACUCUAGAUAGUCAAACCGCAAAAGGUAAGAAUGUCACCAUUACAAUUUUUUUUGAUGAUAUAUUAUCCCACACUGUAAGCCCGGAUUUUAUUUCUAAUUAAAAAUGUAUAUUCAAUGUACAUAAAUUAUUAAGUUAGUCCAUUACUGUCAAAUGUAAGUAUAUUGUACUCAUUUCAGCACGUGUUUAAACGUGUUAAUAGUUUUUAGUUUAAUAAACUAAACAUUUUAAGUUUUUGAACUGAUUGACUUAACUUUUUAAGUUAUUUAACAGAAAAAAAACUUUUUUUUUGCAUUUAAGCCCGCCCUUUUCCCAGCUUGCUGUUGGUGAGGCAGACUUAUUUUUUUCGUGUUUAAGUAGCCA